rnacentral:rRNA from 1 species
UACGAAGGGUGCAAACGUUGCUCGGAAUUAUUGGGCGUAAAGCGCACGUAGGCGGCAUUGCAAGUCGGAUGUGAAAUCUUAUGGCUUAACCAUAAAAGUGCAUCCGAAACUUCAGUGCUUGAGUACUUAAGAGGAUCGCGGAAUUCCCGGUGUAGAGGUGAAAUUCGUAGAUAUCGGGAGGAACACCAGUGGCGAAGGCGGCAUCCUGGACCGAUACUGACGCUGAGGAGCGAAAGCAUGGGGAGCGAACAGG